rnacentral:rRNA from 1 species
AUUGAACGCUGGCGGCAUGCCUUACACAUGCAAGUCGAACGGUAACGGGCCUUCGGGUGCCGACGAGUGGCGAACGGGUGAGUAAUACAUCGGAACGUGCCCGAUCGUGGGGGAUAACGAGGCGAAAGCUUUGCUAAUACCGCAUACGAUCUACGGAUGAAAGCAGGGGACCGCAAGGCCUUGCGCGGACGGAGCGGCCGAUGGCAGAUUAGGUAGUUGGUGGGAUAAAAGCUUACCAAGCCGACGAUCUGUAGCUGGUCUGAGAGGAUGAUCAGCCACACUGGGACUGAGACACGGCACAGACUCCUACGGGAGGCAGCAGUGGGGAAUUUUGGACAAUGGGCGCAAGCCUGAUCCAGCCAUGCCGCGUGCAGGAUGAAGGCCUUCGGGUUGUAAACUGCUUUUGUACGGAACGAAAAGCCUUCUUUUAAUACAGGAGGGUCAUGACGGUACCGUAAGAAUAAGCACCGGCUAACUACGUG